GAUGAAGGAACGUAGUGAAAUGCGAUAAGUAAUGUGAAUUGCAGAAUUCAGUGAAUCAUCGAAUCUUUGAACGCACAUUGCGCCCCCCAGUAUUCUGGCGGGCAUGCCUGUUCGAGCGUCAUUUCAACCAUCAAGCCCUGCUUGUGUUGGGGUCCUGCGGCUGCCCGCAGGCCCUGAAAACCAGUGGCGGGCUCGCUAGUCACACCGAGCGCAGUAGCACAUCUCGCUCAGGGCGUGCGGCGGGCUCCAGCCGUUAAAGCACCCACCUUUCGCAAGGUUGACCUCGGAUCAGGUAGGAAUACCCGCUGAACUUAAGCAUAUCAAUAAGCGGAGGA
rnacentral:misc_RNA from 1 species